rnacentral:rRNA from 1 species
UACGAAGGGUGCAAGCGUUAAUCGGAAUUACUGGGCGUAAAGCGCGCGUAGGUGGCUUGAUAAGUUGGAUGUGAAAUCCCCGGGCUCAACCUGGGAACUGCAUCCAAAACUGUCUGGCUAGAGUGUGGUAGAGGGUAGUGGAAUUUCCAGUGUAGCGGUGAAAUGCGUAGAUAUUGGAAGGAACACCAGUGGCGAAGGCGACUGCCUGGACUAACACUGACACUGAGGUGCGAAAGCGUGGGGAGCAAACAGG